rnacentral:rRNA from 1 species
UAGGGAAUAUUGGGCAAUGGUCGGAAGACUGACCCAGCCAUGCCGCGUGCAGGAAGAAGGAUCUCAGAUCUGUAAACUGCUUUAGAAGGGGAAGAAAAAGCGCCUGCGGGCGAAAUUGACGGUACCCUUAGAAUAAGCACCGGCUAACUCCGUGCCAGCAGCCGCGGUAAUACGGGGGGUGCAAGCGUUGUCCGGAUUUAUUGGGUUUAAAGGGUGCGUAGGCGGUCUAUUAAGUCAGCGUUAAAAUACAACAGCUUAACUGUUGGCCUGGCACUGAUACUGAUGGACUUGAGUGCGGUUGAGGUUGGCGGAAUUUAUGGUGUAGCGGUGAAAUGCAUAGAUACCAUAAAGAACACCGAUAGCGAAGGCAGCUAACCAAGCCGUUACUGACGCUGAGGCA